rnacentral:hammerhead_ribozyme from 1 species
AUCCAGAUGACGAGUCCCAAAUAGGACAAAAUGCACAUCCUGGAU